AAGGCUUAAUUCACCAGGUACAUACACAUAACACUUCUUAAUUUGUACACAUGGAAUUACACAGCCUUAAAACAUACAUAAUAGAAAUUGACAGAAAUAAGGGGAAAUAGACAAAUCUAUAGUCACAGAGAUUUUCACAUGAAAUCAUGAAAAUGAUGCAUGAACAAAAUGAGAAUAGAGAGAUAAAAACUAUGAAAAAGAGCCAAAAAGAAAUUCUGGACCCAAACAGUACAGUAACUGAACCAAAAACUUUACUAGAGUGGUUCAACAGUAGAGUUGAUCAAGCAGAAGAAAGAAUCAGCAACCUUAAAGUUAGGCUAUUUAAGUUGCUUAGGGUAAGAAAAAGGAAAAAAAAUGGAAGUAUAAAGGACUUAUGGGAUACCAUCAAGCCAACCAAUCUAUAGGAGUAGAAGAAGAUGAAGAAAGGAUUAAAGGGAGCAAAGGAAGUAACGUCAGCCCCAACAGCAGAGGAUUCUUGCCGUGGCUCCGAGGUGCAGGCGAUUCUACAAGAUGUCUCACCUGCCUAUGAAACUCCUGCGCAAGAAGAUCGAGAAGCGGAACCUGAAGUUGCGGCAGGGAAACCUAAAGCUGCAGGGGACCUCAAAUGUGAACCUGUCAGAAACUCAAAAUGGAGAUGAGACCACUGAAGAAACAGUAGGAAGUAGAAAACUUAAAAAAUCCUUAAAACAGUCUCUGAUAGUGGGCUUUUCAGAAACCCAAAAUGGAGACAUGUCUGAAGAAACAGUGGAAAAUGUAAAAGUUAAAAAUCCCCCUAGAAAAGUAAGUCUAUCAUAUUAACCAAUGGACAAGCAGCAAUGCAGUCUCCCAAUUCCGAAUCAAAAAAGAAAAAGAAGAAGAGAAAAAUGGUGAAUGAUGCUGGGCCUGACACAAAAAGACCAAAAACUGAAAACCAAGGGGAAUCUGAAGAAGAAAGUGCUGAGGCGCAUGAAGGGACAAGACAACGCAGGGGAGCCAGAUACUGAGGAAGGUGGCAGUGAAGCCCCCAGCCUGCCCAUGGGACUGACAGGUGCUUUUGAGGACACUUCAUUUGCUUCUUUAACUGAUCUUGUCAAUGAAAAUACUCUGAAGGCAAUAAAAGAAAUGGGCUUUACAAACAUGACUGAAAUUCAACAUAAAAGUAUCAAGCCACUUCUGGAAGGCAGGGAUCUUCUAGCAGCUGCAAAAACAGGGAGUGGCAAAAUUCUGGCUUUUCUCAUCCCUGCAGUGGAACUCAUUGUGAAGUUAAAGUUCAUGCCCAGGAAUGGAACAGGAGUCCUUACUCUCUCACCAACUAGGGAACUGGCCAUGCAGACUUUUGGUGUUCUUAAGGAGCUGAUAACUCACCAUGUGCAUACAUACGGGUUGGUAAUGGGUGGCAGUAACAGAUCUGCUGAAGCACAGAAACUCGCUAAUGGGAUCAACAUCAUUGUGGCCACCCCAGGUCGUCUCCUGGACCACAUGCAGAAUACCCCUGGGUUUAUGUAUAAAAAUCUACAGGGUCUGGUUAUUGAUGAGGCUGAUCGAAUCUUGGAUGUUGGGUUUGAAGAAGAAUUAAAGCAGAUUAUUAAACUUCUGCCAACAUGCAGACAGACUAUGCUCUUUUCUGCCAUACAAACUUGAAAAGUUGAAGAUCUAGCAAGGAUUUCUCUGAAAAAGGAGCCAUUGUAUGUGGGUGUUGAUGAUGAUAAAACUAAUGCAACAGUGGAUGGUCUUGAGCAGGGAUAUGUGGUUUGUCCCUCUGAAAAGAGAUUUCUACUGCUCUUUACAUUCCUUAAGAAGAACCGAAAGAAGAAACUAAUGGUCUUUUUUUCAUCUUGUAAGUCUGUGAAAUACCACUACGAGUUGCUGAACUACAUUGAUUUGCCUGUCUUGGCCAUUCAUGGGAAGCAGAAGCAAAAUAAAUGUACAACCACAUUCUUCCAGUUCUGCAAUGCAGAUUCAGAGAUUUUAUUAUGUACAGAUGUGGCAGCAAGAGGGCUGGAUAUUCCUGAAGUCGACUGGAUCGUUCAGUACGACCCUCCAGAUGACCCUAAGGAAUAUAUUCAUCGUGUAGGUAGAACAGCCAGAGGCCUGAAUGGGAGAGGGCAUGCUCUACUCAUUUUACGCCCGGAAGAAUUGGGUUUCCUUCGUUACUUGAAGCAAUCCAAGGUUCCAUUAAGUGAAUUUGACUUUUCCUGGUCUAAAAUUUCUAACAUUCAGUCUCAGCUUGAACAAUUGAUUGAAAAGAACUACUUUCUUCAUAAGUCAGCCCAGGAAGCAUAUAAGUCAUACAUUCGAGCCUAUGACUCCCAUUCUCUGAAACAGAUCUUCAAUGUUCAUAACUUAAAUUUGCCUCAAGUUGCUCUGUCCUUUGGUUUCAAGGUGCCUCCUUUUGUUGAUCUGAACGUGAACAGCAAGGAAGGCAAGCAAAGAAAGAGAGGAGGUGGCGGCAGAUUUGGCUACCAGAAGACCAAGAAGGUUGAGAAGUCAAAAAUCUUUAAACACAUUAGCAAGAAAUCAUCUGACAGCAGACAGUUCUCACACUGAAGACACAACUUUCAUCUGGAAUAGCUUUGUCCUGAAAUUAAUUUUUUUUUCUUGCUGUAACAAAGGAAUUUUUGUAGCCAUAGAAUUUGGACCUUCGUAACGAGAAUAUGACCCAGGUUGGAAGCACUGAGCACUGUGAUUUUUUUUUCAUCAAGUGUCUUUUAUUUUGGAGAUACAAAACAGACUUUAAUUUUUGGUUGCCUAAGAGCAAGGCAAGGAAUUUGCCUAAGAGCAAGGCAAGGAAUUUCUCUAGUGUUUUUGUGGUGAUAAUAUGCUAUUUUAAUUUUAAAUACACACAAACUUAUGUCAUUGUUUUAAUAUAAUUUUUUUGUUCCUUCUCAGUUUUUGAAGAUUUCUGUGGUGUGGAUUUCUGUACUGACUUCUUGUAGAAGGUAACUUAGUGUACUAGGCAGAUGAUGGUAAUGCAAAAAUAGUCUCAGGGCCUUUUUUAGUUUUAGUUGUUUCUAGGACCUUCGUGGUAUUAUGUCUCGUGACCCCUCCUAAAAAUGCUGCAGUAUAUAAGGGCAGAGAGCUUUGAGAAAUACCUAUGACGCACCUUAGGAUAAAGGUACCAUCAUUUUUAUAUAGUCUUGAUUUUUUAAAAAUGAGCCUGUCCCAGUUUCUUUUUUUCUUUUAGAGUAAGAAAUAUGGGUUAUUUGUCAUCGUUAUUUGAAUAGUGUCCCUAGCAGUCAUAACGGGUGGGGGAGAAGGAGAUUGAGAUUUAUGAGCUUCAUUUACACCAAUACUGGUGUAAGACACUGCUGAUCUUCAUCUGGUAACUUAGCAAAUACUUUAAAGAAAAAAAAAAAAAAGAA